rnacentral:rRNA from 1 species
UUAAGCGACUAAGCGUACACGGUGGAUGCCCUGGCAGUCAGAGGCGAUGAAGGACGUGCUAAUCUGCGAUAAGCGUCGGUAAGGUGAUAUGAACCGUUAUAACCGGCGAUUUCCGAAUGGGGAAACCCAGUGUGAUUCGUCACACUAUCAUUAACUGAAUCCAUAGGUUAAUGAGGCGAACCGGGGGAACUGAAACAUCUAAGUACCCCGAGGAAAAGAAAUCAACCGAGAUUCCCCCAGUAGCGGCGAGCGAACGGGGAGCAGCCCAGAGCCUGAAUCAGUGUGUGUGUUAGUGGAAGCGUCUGGAAAGGCGUGCGAUACAGGGUGACAGCCCCGUACACAAAAAUGCACAUAUUGUGAGCUCGAUGAGUAGGGCGGGACACGUGGUAUCCUGUCUGAAUAUGGGGGGACCAUCCUCCAAGGCUAAAUACUCCUGACUGACCGAUAGUGAACCAGUACCGUGAGGGAAAGGCGAAAAGAACCCCGGCGAGGGGAGUGAAAAAGAACCUGAAACCGUGUACGUACAAGCAGUGGGAGCACGCUUAGGCGUGUGACUGCGUACCUUUUGUAUAAUGGGUCAGCGACUUAUAUUCUGUAGCAAGGUUAACCGAAUAGGGGAGCCGAAGGGAAACCGAGUCUUAACUGGGCGUUAAGUUGCAGGGUAUAGACCCGAAACCCGGUGAUCUAGCCAUGGGCAGGUUGAAGGUUGGGUAACACUAACUGGAGGACCGAACCGACUAAUGUUGAAAAAUUAGCGGAUGACUUGUGGCUGGGGGUGAAAGGCCAAUCAAACCGGGAGAUAGCUGGUUCUCCCCGAAAGCUAUUUAGGUAGCGCCUCGUGAAUUCAUCUCCGGGGGUAGAGCACUGUUUCGGCAAGGGGGUCAUCCCGACUUACCAACCCGAUGCAAACUGCGAAUACCGGAGAAUGUUAUCACGGGAGACACACGGCGGGUGCUAACGUCCGUCGUGAAGAGGGAAACAACCCAGACCGCCAGCUAAGGUCCCAAAGUCAUGGUUAAGUGGGAAACGAUGUGGGAAGGCCCAGACAGCCAGGAUGUUGGCUUAGAAGCAGCCAUCAUUUAAAGAAAGCGUAAUAGCUCACUGGUCGAGUCGGCCUGCGCGGAAGAUGUAACGGGGCUAAACCAUGCACCGAAGCUGCGGCAGCGACGCUUAUGCGUUGUUGGGUAGGGGAGCGUUCUGUAAGCCUGCGAAGGUGUGCUGUGAGGCAUGCUGGAGGUAUCAGAAGUGCGAAUGCUGACAUAAGUAACGAUAAAGCGGGUGAAAAGCCCGCUCGCCGGAAGACCAAGGGUUCCUGUCCAACGUUAAUCGGGGCAGGGUGAGUCGACCCCUAAGGCGAGGCCGAAAGGCGUAGUCGAUGGGAAACAGGUUAAUAUUCCUGUACUUGGUGUUACUGCGAAGGGGGGACGGAGAAGGCUAUGUUGGCCGGGCGACGGUUGUCCCGGUUUAAGCGUGUAGGCUGGUUUUCCAGGCAAAUCCGGAAAAUCAAGGCUGAGGCGUGAUGACGAGGCACUACGGUGCUGAAGCAACAAAUGCCCUGCUUCCAGGAAAAGCCUCUAAGCAUCAGGUAACAUCAAAUCGUACCCCAAACCGACACAGGUGGUCAGGUAGAGAAUACCAAGGCGCUUGAGAGAACUCGGGUGAAGGAACUAGGCAAAAUGGUGCCGUAACUUCGGGAGAAGGCACGCUGAUAUGUAGGUGAAGUCCCUUGCGGAUGGAGCUGAAAUCAGUCGAAGAUACCAGCUGGCUGCAACUGUUUAUUAAAAACACAGCACUGUGCAAACACGAAAGUGGACGUAUACGGUGUGACGCCUGCCCGGUGCCGGAAGGUUAAUUGAUGGGGUCAGCGCAAGCGAAGCUCUUGAUCGAAGCCCCGGUAAACGGCGGCCGUAACUAUAACGGUCCUAAGGUAGCGAAAUUCCUUGUCGGGUAAGUUCCGACCUGCACGAAUGGCGUAAUGAUGGCCAGGCUGUCUCCACCCGAGACUCAGUGAAAUUGAACUCGCUGUGAAGAUGCAGUGUACCCGCGGCAAGACGGAAAGACCCCGUGAACCUUUACUAUAGCUUGACACUGAACAUUGAGCCUUGAUGUGUAGGAUAGGUGGGAGGCUUUGAAGUGUGGACGCCAGUCUGCAUGGAGCCGACCUUGAAAUACCACCCUUUAAUGUUUGAUGUUCUAACGUUGACCCGUGAUCCGGGUUGCGGACAGUGUCUGGUGGGUAGUUUGACUGGGGCGGUCUCCUCCUAAAGAGUAACGGAGGAGCACGAAGGUUGGCUAAUCCUGGUCGGACAUCAGGAGGUUAGUGCAAUGGCAUAAGCCAGCUUGACUGCGAGCGUGACGGCGCGAGCAGGUGCGAAAGCAGGUCAUAGUGAUCCGGUGGUUCUGAAUGGAAGGGCCAUCGCUCAACGGAUAAAAGGUACUCCGGGGAUAACAGGCUGAUACCGCCCAAGAGUUCAUAUCGACGGCGGUGUUUGGCACCUCGAUGUCGGCUCAUCACAUCCUGGGGCUGAAGUAGGUCCCAAGGGUAUGGCUGUUCGCCAUUUAAAGUGGUACGCGAGCUGGGUUUAGAACGUCGUGAGACAGUUCGGUCCCUAUCUGCCGUGGGCGCUGGAGAACUGAGGGGGGCUGCUCCUAGUACGAGAGGACCGGAGUGGACGCAUCACUGGUGUUCGGGUUGUCAUGCCAAUGGCACUGCCCGGUAGCUAAAUGCGGAAGAGAUAAGUGCUGAAAGCAUCUAAGCACGAAACUUGCCCCGAGAUGAGUUCUCCCUGA